CUCCCGGGGUCUGAGUGCGCGGUGGGGCGGCGGAGGGUCCGGCCCGGCCCUCCCCGCUUCGGGCUCCGCGGGUCUUCACGUCGUGGCUCUGCUUGGAAGCGGCGCCUCGGCUCCGGCCGCUGGGUGGGGGCUGGGGGAGUAAUUUUCUGGCGAAACUCUUGUUAAACAGUGCUCGAACGUUGCUCGAUAGCAGCAGCCCGAGGUCCCUGCUGGGGCGGUGUCUGAGAGACCCCCGGUAGGAGCGAAGUGGGGAGGAACAGCGCAGUUCUAGAUUGGAAGUGGAAUUUGGAUUAGGAAACGUGUUUCCUGGAAGGGUGAAAACUGCUUGUUGUUCGCCGUGCGAUUGGCACGACACCCUUUUAAUACACCGCGUCGAGGGGGGGAAAAAUAAUCCCUUGAAUUUAAUCCUUUGUUUCACACAUUUCAGCCAAACCACGGCCGGAUUCCCGGAGGUGUUCUCUCUGGCUGGAUCCAGUGGAUCGCAGUUAAUAUGGCCUCCCCUCCUCUGCUGCCGUCUAUAGAGGCAGCAAUUACUGCUCUGGUGCUUGGAGAGAUUUAAAAACAAAAGCGUUUGCCUGUUGCCAGGGCCGAAGGGGUCCUGAACUCUGAAGCUUUGUAUUUUUAUGAACUGCCGUAUUUCCAAAGCUGGGAGGUUUAUCGUUGUGUAUGUCUUCACACACACAUGACAGAUGGACCCAAUGCCACCAGCUUUUCGUCCAUGGCCUCAUUGUCAACUGCUGUAAAACCUCUUCCUUCUGCAGGGCUCACCAUGCUGCAGAUUCUCCUUUUUUAUUAUUAUUAAUUUUUAAAAAUUUUUUUAACAAAAUGCCAUUUGUGACACGAGACUAACCAGGAUAUUCUGACCAGCUGUGUAAGUAUAUCCUCAGAAAAUAAAGCUAAUGAA